AUCCCUUUUUUUCUUCUUUCUCCUUUCUGGAAGAAGGCCAGAGCAUUUGGUGCCUUCUCUUCCUUUCAGUUGCAGUGCCUCUGAAAACAUUGCCAUCAAAUUCUCAAACACUCAUUUCCAUUUCGGUUAUUCAUUUCACAAGAUUCAGCUUCAGGUUCAGCCGUUUAACACCAAAAGAAAAAUGUGUGGGAUGCCAGUGUGAAUUGCUAUGGCAAGGGGGAUGCAGGAAGUUCUUGGCGCUACUUCGAGUCCACCUACAUUAUUUGAUGGAACUGCAGGGAUUGCAGGACCGGAUACAAUUCGCAUCCACUAUCGUCAGGCAUCAUGCUCCAAGCGUCCAUCAUUAGAUAGACUGAUUAUGUCAUCUAGCAAAUGCCACAUAAUGAACCAAUGAUGCGGAUAGUUCCUUAGAUCCAUGUUAUAUAUUGUGUAUCGCUUUCUGCACUAUAUACGGAUAUCAGAAGGCUUUCAAGUGAUCAUACAACUAUUCCUGUUGUGAAUUCUCCUGCCCCCAAACUUUCAUUGACUUCAAGUUGUAGUUUAAGUCCUUAAAACUAAAUCACUGCUGCAAACCUUUUAACAUGGCUAGUGGCCCUUAUUUUUUCUUCUUACCGAGGGUGACUGAGGACCAAAAAAGUGUGUAGAUAAUUGUCAGGAAUAGUAGAGAUGGCGCUAUUUGGAGAAUAAAGACUACAUUUAUAUGCCACCAAAAAUGCAGCCCCUUUUCGU